rnacentral:lncRNA from 1 species
CAGAUGUCAUGAAUUGCAUGGCCCCAGGAUGGCCUAAAGGAAAAACUUGUCCCAGUUGCAACAGAAGUUUUGGAAUUUAGUAGGAACCUUUAAUAAGGUUCCUUGUUAAUCCAGCAGCAAAAUCCUUUCCCUCCUGCGCUCUGUGACCAAGACAGAGAAUAAGUAUUCUGGGCUGGAAGACCUACAAAAAGAGGCCUGGUUUUACAGACCCUGGUUUCAGGCCCCUAGAAAGGGAUUGCUUCAAGCUGUAAGAAGUCCAACCACUCCUUGUUUAACCUCUUCACUCUGUCCAGAGCUUUCUGAUGCCUCCGGCUGCUGUGUUCAUGCCCUUCCCCAGCCAAAAUGGAGCCAGGUGGAGAGAAAGUGAGGCUGUAGACCCAGAGAACUCCCUCUUACAGGGUUUGGAGAGCAGAGAAAGUAUCAGAGAAAAGCAGGAGCAUCUCUUCCUUGGUCUGUUUUGCACCCUUUUGCUCCUAUUGUAUGAAUAUUCUUAUCCUAUGUCCUGAUAAAAAUGUGUUAUUUUGAAACCUUUUGCUGGUAACAGCAAAACCUUUUGCUGGUAACAAAACCAGUUAUGUCCUGCUCAUGCUUUCUAAUGACAUGGUUCGAAACCUUGUAUGUGGACACACUCCGACCUUAACUGGUACUCAGACUGUGGUCUUCCAUGAAAACACAUAGCUGUCACUUGAAUCACGGAAU